CCUCCCAGGAGCUCAUUAGCAAAGUGGUUAUUAAUGGUGCCCUGGAAAUGUGUAUGAAAUGCGGGGAGGCCUCCACAACACAGGGUUUAAGAAGCAAGCGGAGAAGGCACCACUGAAUUCAGAGACCGCUGUGGCUGAGUGUGCUGUUCCUAGGAUGGCUUGGGUCACCACACUGCUGGUUCUGGUAGCCUGUUGGGCAGGUUCCAGCUACCAGUUCACUUUGACUCAGCCACUCGCUAUGUCAGUGACUCCAGGAGAAAGUGUCCAACUCGCAUGUGUUCUGAGCAGUGGAGACAGCAUCAGCGGUAGCUACAUACGCUGGUACCAGCAGAAGGAAGGGGAGAAACCAAGAUACCUGCUGUAUUACAAGGAUGAUUCUACCCAGGGUAAAGGCUCUGGUGUCCCUGACAGGUUCACUGCCUCUAAAGACACUUCCAGGAACACCUGCUUUUUAACGAUCAGCAGGGCUCAAGCAGAGGACGAUGCUGAUUACUAUUGCACAGACUGGGACGGCCCAGCUAACCAGUACACAGUGAUACAGCUGCAUGGAGAAGAGGAACAAAAACCCCUCUCACCCAUAGUGACACAGCACCUGGAGCCCACCUGUGUGUCUCUUGUUCCUAUUAGAUGGCCCAGUGGAUUGGCUCCUGGCUAAGUGUGAUCUCCAAUUCCUGUCAGUCCUCAUUGCCUUUCAAAGCUACGGGCUAUUCUGACUGAAGAACUCACCUGUGUUCUGACACAACAUCACUGCCCUGAUGCACAGACUGAGUUAAAGGCAGUAAGGAGAUCAAACCAGGGCACUAGGGAUCACAUCACCCAGUCUGACCUCCUGUGUGAGACAGGCCAUAGAACUUCACCCAGUAAUUCCUGGCUCACACCCAGAAACAUGUGGUUGAACUCACUCAUCUCUUUUAGAAAGACCCCCAGGCUUCAUGUUCCACAGCCCUUUGUAAUCUGCUCCAGGGCUUAAUUACUGUGCAGGUCAUUUCCAGUUUGAAUUUUUCUAACUGCAGCUCCCAGACAUUUGAUCUUGGUCUACCUUGUUCUCCUAGAUUAAACAGCCCCUGAGUACCUGCUCUUCUGCCGUGAUCAAGUCACGUCUUAACCUUCUCUUUGACAAGCUAAAUAGUGAGAUGGAAAGUAACUCAGCCUAAGAUUAGUGUUUUCCAGACCUUGAAAUAUUCACGUAGCUCUUCUCUGAACCCUCUCUAACUUGUCAACAGCCUUUUAAAAUUGCAGACCCCAGACCUGGACACACUGUUCCAUUCGUGGUCUCUUGAGUGACACAGACAAGGGUGAUCUCACCUUCCUUCUCCUCCAGCACACUCACAGACGCCAGUGCUGAUGUUCCUGUUUGCAUGGAGCUGUCCUCCUGCAAAUAGAGAGACUGAGCCUACGCCUCAGGUGCUGAGGGCUCCCAACUCCCACUGACUUCCCCCAGAGCUGCAUGUGCUCAGCACUUCCCAGGAUCGGGCCCAGUGGGUGCCCAAGCUCCAUGUGCUGCACGUUUGUAAAGCAAAACCAGUACAGACAAGGGGACCUAGAGCUGCUGCCAUUGGAGUCUUUUGCCCAGGUGCAACUUCUCUCCAGCUGAGCCGCAAAGUUCCAACUUGGUCUUUGUUCCUUUGAAACAAUGCCAAGGCUGGGAGGCCAGUGGGCUCUGCUGCUUUUUCCUUAUGCCUGUUUGUAAAGAUCAUUUAAUGCUUUGCUUUUGGUUUUCAGAAUAAUCCCCAAUAUUCAUUAAAACAUUCCUUAUACAAAGCCGUCCUUCGCGAGCAACCCUACGAUAACACACAUGAGCAGUAAGGGACUGGAUUUCCGGUUUUCCCUUUAAUCGCAAGCAGGGCAGGUGGUAUCUGAGCUCAUGGAGCUUGAGUGGGUGGGAUGCUGCGGCGCAUGACCAAGGGGAUCAUUGCUGUGGAUUUGCCCCGAUGUGUCUGGGCACUAAAGUGUGGGACUGUCUAAUGAGGCCCCAUCCAUACAAGGGAUCACACUUUCCUAACCUGUGAAACGACACUGCCCAUGUCCUUCCGUACAAAUCAGGUCUGUGCAGAGUGCCGGGCCUCUGAGCUGUGACCGAAGCAAUAACAGGAAGCGUGUCGGGGAGUCAGUGAGGCUGAGAGCACUGGGGCUGUUUAGAGACACAAGAGUUGGGGCUUGACUGAGCUCAAGUAAGGGGCUGCCAGGACCUCACGGGAUCUAAGCCCUCAGAGACUCUAUACAGACCAGCAGGUGGCAGUAUAAGAUCACCCAAUAGCAUUAGCAACACCCACCCGCUCUGUAACCUGAGUCCCAAGGGAAGGGCUUUGGGGAGUUGAAGGCCUUAGGGCUGUAGAAUUGAGACUAUGUAGAUCUCUCUAGACUAUCUGGAGGCAGGGCCGGCCGUAGACCAAAAGGCGCCCCCAGCGAGGAGUCUUUGGUGCCCCCAU